CAGUUGAAUGGUUUCUAUAUUAAGGAAUAAGGUACUGAUAAUAAAGGAAAGAAUGCAGGGUGUACCUGCCAAAGUGGAAAAUGUUAAAAAUGAGGACAAACCAGUUUGGAAAAUAAAAAGUUAUCUCCAGUCAGAGUCACUGGCCACAGAGAGAAGCGAAGGAUAUCUAGAAAGAAUAUCGUAGAAGUGAUCUUUUUUCUUUAUUUUUAGAAAACGGAUUUUAAUCUGUUCCUCCUGUAAACUGGGUGAAAGGGAAUAACUAUUCGCUCAGCAGGAAAACGUCAGAUGGAUGCCAGAUCACAGUCAGUGGCUGUUGGAAUAGCAAUAGCAUUCUGCAUCCUUGGGGUGUUUGUGCUGGUCUGUGUGUUACAGAUUUGCUGGAAGAAUCUCAAGAGGCGCUGCAAGAAGAAGCGGCCUUCAGCAAAAGAUAAAAUCCUGAAGAAAUUAGGUACUAAGAAAACAUCGCCUCCUUUCUCCAUCAGUGGGAUUAUAGACAAGAAAUGACGGCACACAGUCAAGACAUCAGAAUAUGGACUUCACUCAUUUUCUCUGAUAUGUGAAAAGUUGUAUUUAUAUAUUUGUAAAAUGAUUAAUUCUUCUUUUAGUUCUCUAUUACAUCACACCUAAUAGAUGGGGAUGGUUUAUGAUUCAUAACUUAGGUGGAAGUGCAAUGUAAUAUUUAUAACUCUCAAACCAAAACCCAAAAGGUCAAAUUACAGCUAAAUGUGAUGGUAUUCUGAUUCAUUUGAAAUCUUUAGAUGUUUUUCACAUUCUUUUGCCAUAAAAUAAGAGCUGAA